rnacentral:rRNA from 1 species
UGGGCUUUAACUGACGCUGAGGCACGAAAGCGUGGGUAGCAAACAGGAUUAGAUACCCUGGUAGUCCACGCUGUAAACGAUGAUUACUAGGUGUGGGUGGACUGACCCCAUCCGUGCCGCAGUUAACACAAUAAGUAAUCCACCUGGGGAGUACGGCCGCAAGGUUGAAGCUCAAAGGAAUUGACGGGGGCCCGCACAAGCAGUGGAGUAUGUGGUUUAAUUCGAAGCAACGCGAAGAACCUUACCAGGUCUUGACAUCGAGUGACGUAUCUAGAGAUAGGUAUUUCCUUCGGGACACGAAGACAGGUGGUGCAUGGUUGUCGUCAGCUCGUGUCGUGAGAUGUUGGGUUAAGUCCCGCAACGAGCGCAACCCUUGCUAUUAGUUGCUACGCAAGAGCACUCUAAUAGGACUGCCGUUGACAAAACGGAGGAAGGUGGGGACGACGUCAAAUCAUCAUGCCCCUUAUGACCUGGGCUACACACGUACUACAAUGGUCGUUAACAGGGGGAAGCAAUACAGCGAUGUGGAGCAAACCCCUAAAAGCGGUCUCAGUUCAGAUGCAGGCUGCAACCCGCCUGCAUGAAGUCGGAAUGCUAGUAA